CCACACAGACUAUUAUUCAAACUCACUGACUUGAGAAUAGUAGAGGUAACUGGAAUUUCUAGUGUAGGAGUGAAAUCCGUAGAUAUUAGAAGGAACACCAAUGGCGUAGGCAGGUUACUGGACUAUUUCUGACACUAAGGCACGAAAGCGUGGGGAGCGAACCGGAUUAGAUACCCGGGUAGUCCACGCUGUAAACGAUGGAUACUAGCUGUUGGAGGUAUCGACCCCUUCAGUAGCGAAGCUAACGCGUUAAGUAUCCCGCCUGUGGAGUACGAUCGCAAGAUUAAAACAUAAAGGAAUUGACGGGGACCCGCACAAGCGGUGGAGCGUGUUCUUUAAUUCGAUGAUAAACGAAGAACCUUACCAGGGUUUGACAUCCUUGGAAUUUUGCCGAAAGGCGAGAGUGCUUUAUUGAGCCAAGUGACAGGUGCUGCAUGGCCGUCGUCAGCUCGUGUCGUGAGAUGUUUGGUUAAGUCCAUCAACGAGCGCAACCCUUGUGAUUAGUUGUAUUUUUCUAAUCAAACUGCCCCGGUAACGGGGAGGAAGGAGGGGAUGAUGUCAGGUCAGUAUUGCCCUUAUACCCUGGGCUAGAAACGCGCUACAAUGGCUGGUACAAUGCGCAGCGAAGCGGUGACGUGGAGCAAAUCGCAUCAAAGCCAGUCCCAGUUCAGAUUGCAGGCUGAAACUCGCCUGCAUGAAGUCGGAAUCGCUAGUAAUCGCGGAUCAGCAUGCCGCGGGUGAAUACGUUCCCGGGUCUUGUACACACCGCCCGUCAAACCAUGAAAGUGACCAACACCCGAAGUCCGAUUCGUUCGGCCUAAGGUGGGGGGCAUGAUUGGGGUUAAGUCGUAACAAGGUAACCGU
rnacentral:rRNA from 1 species